rnacentral:rRNA from 1 species
GAUGAACGCUGGCGGCGUGCCUAAUACAUGCAAGUCGAGCGAACAGACGAGGAGCUUGCUCCUCUGACGUUAGCGGCGGACGGGUGAGUAACACGUGGAUAACCUACCUAUAAGACUGGGAUAACUUCGGGAAACCGGAGCUAAUACCGGAUAACAUAUUGAACCGCAUGGUUCAACAGUGAAAGACGGUCUUGCUGUCACUUAUAGAUGGAUCCGCGCCGCAUUAGCUAGUUGGUAAGGUAACGGCUUACCAAGGCAACGAUGCGUAGCCGACCUGAGAGGGUGAUCGGCCACACUGGAACUGAGACACGGUCCAGACUCCUACGGGAGGCAGCAGUAGUGAAUCUUCCGCAAUGGGCGAAAGCCUGACGGAGCAACGCCGCGUGAGUGAAGAAGGUCUUCGGAUCGUAAAACUCUGUUAUUAGGGAAGAACAAAUGUGUAAGUAACUAUGCACGUCUUGACGGUACCCAAUCAGAAAGCCACGGCUAACUACGUG